CCUACGGGAGGCAGCAGUAGGGAAUAUUGCUCAAUGGGGGAAACCCUGAAGCAGCAACGCCGCGUGGAGGAUGAAGGUUUUCGGAUUGUUAACUCCUUUUGUUAGAGAAGAUAAUGACGGUAUCUAACGAAUAAGCACCGGCUAACUCCGUGCCAGCAGCCGCGGUAAUACGGAGGGUGCAAGCGUUACUCGGAAUCACUGGGCGUAAAGAGCGCGUAGGCGGGAUAGCAAGUCAGAUGUGAAAUCCUAUGGCUUAACCAUAGAACUGCAUUUGAAACUGUUAUUCUAGAGUAUGGGAGAGGUAGGUGGAAUGCUUGGUGUAGGGGUAAAAUCCGUAGAGAUCAAGAGGAAUACUCAUUGCGAAGGCGACCUGCUAGAACAUAACUGACGCUGAUGCGCGAAAGCGUGGGGAGCAAACAGGAUUAGAUACCCGAGUAGUC
rnacentral:rRNA from 1 species